CGCCUGGGAAUUACGAGUAAGCUUAAAACCCAAAGGACUUGACGGUGUCCCAUUCCCCCUAGAGGAGCCUGUUCUAUAAUCGAUGAUCCCCGCUUUACCCUUCCACUUCUUGCUUNUUCAGCCUGUAUACCUCCGUCGUAAGCUUGCCCUGUGAACGCUUAUUUAGCAAGCCCAAGGAUCUUAUNCACCAACACGUCAGGUCAAGGUGCAGCCUAUGAAGUGGAAAGCAAUGGGCUACAAUUUCUAAAUUAGAACAAACGAAAAACUGCAUGAAAUACAGUUANGAAGGUGGAUUUAGUAGU
rnacentral:rRNA from 2 species